rnacentral:rRNA from 1 species
UACAGAGGUCCCAAGCGUUGUUCGGAUUCACUGGGCGUAAAGGGCGCGUAGGCGGUCGGGUAAGUCUGAUGUGAAAUCUCCGAGCUUAACUCGGAAAUGGCAUUGGAUACUAUUCGGCUAGAGGGUUUGAGGGGGGACUGGAAUACUCGGUGUAGCAGUGAAAUGCGUAGAUAUCAAGUGGAACACCAGUGGCGAAGGCGAGUCCCUGGAAAACUCCUGACACUGAGGCACGAAAGCUAGGGGAGCAAACAGG